UACGUAGGGACCAAGCGUUGUUCGGAUUUACUGGGCGUAAAGGGCGCGUAGGCGGCUUAACAAGUCACCUGUGAAAUCUCCGGGCUUAACUCGGAACGGCCAAGUGAAACUGUCAAGCUAGAGUGCAGAAGGGGCAAUCGGAAUUCUUGGUGUAGCGGUGAAAUGCGUAGAUAUCAGGAGGAACACCGGUGGCGAAGGCGGGUCUCUGGGCCGAUACUGACGCUGAGGAGCGAAAGCGUGGGGAGCGAACAGG
rnacentral:rRNA from 1 species